AGCAUAUGACAGGACCUGAGGUGUUAUUCAGAAAGAAAAAAUAAGCCUUGCCAUAUACUAGGCAAACGUUCCACCACUGAGCUACACACUCAACUCCAAAAGAACCAUCUGAAGUGAGGAGGCAACUGAUAUCAAGAAUGAACCCAUCCCGCUCUCUCUGACCAAUCCAACCGAGGAAAGGGAGCCUUUCCCUUAAAAAGAACUCACAGGUGAAGUUGAUUUCUCACCUUGGACCAAUGGCAGAAGUAUAAAAACAUGGAUCAUCACAA